CGUGUAUUGCAGUGGGUACGGGCAGACUAGAGUGCAGUAGGGGAGACUGGAAUUCCUGGUGUAGCGGUGGAAUGCGCAGAUAUCAGGAGGAACACCGAUGGCGAAGGCAGGUCUCUGGGCUGUAACUGACGCUGAGAAGCGAAAGCAUGGGGAGCGAACAGGAUUAGAUACCCUGGUAGUCCAUGCCGUAAACGUUGGGCACUAGGUGUGGGGGACAUUCCACGUUUUCCGCGCCGUAGCUAACGCAUUAAGUGCCCCGCCUGGGGAGUACGGCCGCAAGGCUAAAACUCAAAGAAAUUGACGGGGGCCCGCACAAGCGGCGGAGCAUGCGGAUUAAUUCGAUGCAACGCGAAGAACCUUACCAAGGCUUGACAUAUACUGGACCGCAUCAGAGAUGGUGUUUCCCUUCGGGGCUGGUAUACAGGUGGUGCAUGGUUGUCGUCAGCUCGUGUCGUGAGAUGUUGGGUUAAGUCCCGCAACGAGCGCAACCCUCGUUCUAUGUUGCCAGCACGUUAUGGAUGACGUCAAAUCAUCAUGCCCCUUAUGUCUUGGGCUUCACGCAUGCUACAAUGGCCGGUACAGAGGGUUGCGAUACUGUGAGGUGGAGCUAAUCCCUUAAAGCUGGUCUCAGUUCGGAUUGGUGUCUGCAACUCGACACCAUGAAGGUGGAGUCGCUAGUAAUCGCAGAUCAGCAACGCUGCGGUGAAUACGUUCUCGGGCCUUGUACACACCGCCCGUCACGUCACGAAAGUUGGCAACACCCCAAGCCCGUGGCUCUACGGGGAGCGGUUAAAGGUGGGGCUAGCGAUUGGGACGAAGUCGUAACAAGGUAGCCGUACCGGAAGGUGCGGCUG
rnacentral:rRNA from 1 species